AGGUAACGGCUCACCAAGACAGCGAUGUCUAGGGGUUCUGAGAGGAAUAUCCCCCACACUGGUACUGAGACACGGACCAGACUCCUACGGGAGGCAGCAGUAAGGAAUAUUGGUCAAUGGGCGAAAGCCUGAACCAGCCAUGCCGCGUGCAGGAUGAAGGCCCUAUGGGUUGUAAACUGCUUUUAUGUGGGAAGAAACUCCUGUACGUGUACAGGACUGACGGUACUACACGAAUAAGGACCGGCUAACUCCGUGCCAGCAGCCGCGGUAAUACGGAGGGUCCAAGCGUUAUCCGGAUUCAUUGGGUUUAAAGGGUGCGCAGGCGGACCGAUAAGUCAGUGGUGAAAUCCUACAGCUCAACUGUAGAACUGCCAUUGAUACUGUCGAUCUUGAGUAUAGUUGAAGUGGGCGGAAUGUAUCAUGUAGCGGUGAAAUGCAUAGAUAUGAUACAGAACUCCGAUAGCGAAGGCAGCUCACUAACCUAUAACUGACGCUCAGGCACGAAAGCGUGGGGAGCAAACAGGAUUAGAUACCCUGGUAGUCCACGCCGUAAACGAUGAUCACUCGUUGUUGGCGAUACACAGUCAGCGACUGAACGAAAGCAUUAAGUGAUCCACCUGGGAAGUACGAUCGCAAGGUUGAAACUCAAAGGAAUUGACGGGGGCCCGCACAAGCGGAGGAGCAUGUGGUCUAAUUCGAUGAUACGCGAGGAACCUUACCUGGGCUUAAAUGUAUAAUGACCGACUGGGAAACCAGUCUUCUCUUCGGAGCAUUUUACAAGGUGCUGCAUGGUUGUCGUCAGCUCGUGCCGUGAGGUGUCGGGUUAAGUCCCAUAACGAGCGCAACCCCUAUUCUUAGUUGCCAUCAGAUAAUGCUGGGGACUCUAAGGAAACUGCCUACGCAAGUAGUGAGGAAGGUGGGGAUGACGUCAAAUCAGCAUGGCCCUUAUGUCCAGGGCUACACACGUGCUACAAUGGUCGGUACAGAGGGUCGCUACCUGGUGACAGGAUGCUAAUCUCGAAAACCGAUCUCAGUUCGGAUCGAAGUCUGCAACUCGACUUCGUGAAGCUGGAUUCGCUAGUAAUCGCAUAUCAGCAAUGGUGCGGUGAAUACGUUCCCGGGCCUUGUACACACCGCCCGUCAAGCCAUGGAAGCUGGGGGUACCUGAAGUCUGUGACCGCAAGGAGCGGCCUAGGGUGAAACUAGUAACU
rnacentral:rRNA from 1 species